rnacentral:rRNA from 1 species
AACGAACGCUGGCGGCAGGCCUAACACAUGCAAGUCGAGCGCGCCUUCGGGUGAGCGGCGGACGGGUUAGUAACGCGUGGGAACGUGCCCUUCUCUACGGAAUAGCCUCUGGAAACGGAGAGUAAUACCGUAUACGCCCUUUGGGGGAAAGAUUUAUCGGAGAAGGAUCGGCCCGCGUUAGAUUAGGUAGUUGGUGGGGUAACGGCCUACCAAGCCUACGAUCUAUAGCUGGUUUUAGAGGAUGAUCAGCAACACUGGGACUGAGACACGGCCCAGACUCCUACGGGAGGCAGCAGUGGGGAAUUUUCCGCAAUGGGCGAAAGCCUGACGGAGCAACGCCGCGUGAGGGAUGAAGGCCUCUGGGCUGUAAACCUCUUUUAUCAAGGAAGAAGAUCUGACGGUACUUGAUGAAUAAGCCACGGCUAAUUCCGUG